rnacentral:tRNA from 1 species
UGGUGGGUAGCCAAGCGGUAAGGCAGCGGACUGGUUCGCCAGUCAUUCCUCGAUCGACUCUUGCCUUAAGGGCCGAAAGAUUGAGGGUUAUCUUUGGGUGACGCGAUCGCAGGUUCAAAUCCUGCCCCACUAC